rnacentral:rRNA from 2 species
UAGGGAAUCUUCCACAAUGGACGCAAGUCUGAUGAGCAACGCCGCGUGAGUGAAGAAGGUUUUCGGAUCGUAAAGCUCUGUUGUUGGUGAAGAAGGAUAGAGGCAGUAACUGGUCUUUAUUUGACGGUAAUCAACCAGAAAGUCACGGCUAACUACGUGCCAGCAGCCGCGGUAAUACGUAGGUGGCAAGCGUUGUCCGGAUUUAUUGGGCGUAAAGCGAGCGCAGGCGGAAUGAUAAGUCUGAUGUGAAAGCCCACGGCUCAACCGUGGAACUGCAUCGGAAACUGUCAUUCUUGAGUGCAGAAGAGGAGAGUGGAAUUCCAUGUGUAGCGGUGGAAUGCGUAGAUAUAUGGAAGAACACCAGUGGCGAAGGCGGCUCUCUGGUCUGCAACUGACGCUGAGGCUCGAAAGCAUGGGUAGCGAACAGG